rnacentral:rRNA from 1 species
UACGUAGGCAGCAAGCGUUGUUCGGAGUUACUGGGCGUAAAGAGUGCGUAGGCGGUGCUCUAAGUUUGGUGUGAAAUCUCCCGGCUUAACUGGGAGGGUGCGCCGAAAACUGGAGUGCUUGAGUAUGGGAGAGGCAAGCGGAAUUCCUGGUGUAGCGGUGAAAUGCGUAGAUAUCGGGAGGAACACCGGUGGCGAAGGCGGCGACCUGGGUAGAUACUGACGCUGAGGUGCGAAAGCGUGGGGAGCAAACAGG